UAAAGACAGUUCUGAAACCUCAUUUUUGAU
rnacentral:piRNA from 1 species